GGGCGGUUUGACUGGGGCGGUCGCCUCCUAAAGAGUAACGGAGGCGCGCGAAGGUUACCUUGCACUGGUUGGAAAUCAGUGUGUACGUGCAAAGGCAGAAGGUAGCUUGACUGCGAGAGAUACAACUCGAGCAGGUGCGAAAGCAGGUCUUAGUGAUCUGGCGGUGGCGAGUGGAAGCGCCGUCACUUAACGGACAAAAGGUACUCCGGGGAUAACAGGCUGAUCCUGCCCAAGAGUUCACAUCGACGGCAGGGUUUGGCACCUCGAUGUCGGCUCAUCGCAUCCUGGGGCUGGAGCAGGUCCCAAGGGUUUGGCUGUUCGCCAAUUAAAGCGGUACGUGAGCUGGGUUCAGAACGUCGCGAGACAGUUCGGUCCCUAUCUGCCACAGGCGUUGGAUGGUUGAGAGGAUCUGCCCUUAGUACGAGAGGACCGGGGUGGACGUACCUCUGGUGUACCAGUUAUCGUGCCAACGGUAAGUGCUGGGUAGCUAUGUACGGACGGGAUAACCGCUGAAGGCAUCUAAGUGGGAAGCCCCCCUCAAGAUGAGCCAUCCCCUCACCUUUAAGGUGACUGAAGGAACCAGACAGAUUAUCUGGUCGAUAGGCUGGCGGUCUAAGUGCGGUAACGCAUUGAGCCGACCAGUACUAAUCUUCCGUGAGGCUUGACCGUAU
rnacentral:rRNA from 1 species